rnacentral:rRNA from 1 species
UACGUAGGUGGCAAGCGUUGUCCGGAUUUACUGGGCGUAAAGCGCGCGCAGGCGGUCCUUUAAGUCUGAUGUGAAAGCCCACGGCUCAACCGUGGAGGGUCAUUGGAAACUGGGGGACUUGAGUGCAGGAGAGAAGAGUGGAAUUCCACGUGUAGCGGUGAAAUGCGUAGAUAUCUGGAGGAACACCGGUGGCGAAGGCGGCAUCCUGGACCGAUACUGACGCUGAGGAGCGAAAGCCAGGGGAGCAAACGGG